GAAGGAGUGAGGAGAUGCUGAGCCUGGUUGGGGCAGGGGUGGGAAAGAGAAUGGGAGGCAGAAUAAUUCAAUAUAAAUUAUUCCUUACUUCUUUAUCUUCUUGAAGGAAAUAAUUUCAAAUCCACUCUCUUCUUUCACUCUUAGUCGCUACUGGGUCUCUUUUCACAGGAGUCCAUCUGCCUGGCUAGACUGUAGAUAAGGACUCUUGAUGCACGCCUCUGUCCACCGCACCUCCCUUUGCUGCUCUAGAUAUCCAUAGUUGCCACCUGCUUUGAUACCUUUCCUCAGAACCUCUAACCCUGUACUCUGGGUAUUGACCCUGCACAGCAAGCUUUACUUUACGGGAAAGUAUGAUGGCAUUCUGCAGAAAUAGCCUCAAUACAGUUUACAUGAUAGCUGUGAUAUUGCAAGGUCUGGGGCUAUUACUGUACAAUAGUGUGAUGUAAGUGGUGAGUUCAACUCCUGGUAUGGCGCUUGAAAGGAUGAUCUUUUGGCCCACAGAGUACGAGGUGCCUGAAGCCAACGGUCACUAUUCAAACACACAAUAACAGGACUAAAACACUGUAUAAAGAGAGCCACAGAAUCAGCAAACACUUUAACUGAGCAAAGCAAAACUGCACCAAGAUCUCGCUCCAUGGAGGGAUCGACUGACAAGCUACACAUAGAAAAUGAAUCAAGUUCUCCUGGACCAUCAGCUGCAGACAUGGACAGACUGGGAUCCACUAAAGAAGAAGCUGCAGACAAUGAUUGUCCAGGCUCCUCUUCACCAAUAGCCACAGAACUGAACAAUCCAGAUGCCUCUAAACCACCAACUUCAGAAAUGAGCUGUCCAAACUCAAUUAAGCCUCCAGUGACAGUAAUGGACUCUCCAGACUCCUGUAAAGUAUUAGUUUCAGAGAUGGACCACCGACGUUCAUCCAAAGCAUCAAUAGCAGAUAUGGACUGCCUAAUCUGCUUCAACAGGUAUAACGUUUACAGGAGACCUAAGCUCCUGGCUUGCCAACAUGCCUUCUGUGAAGUCUGCCUCAAGCUCAUCCUUCAGAAUGAGGACAAUACCUGGAUGAUCAUCUGCCCUCUGUGCAGAAAACCCACUGUUGUGUUUGGAGGGCUUAUCCGUACCCUUCUUGAUAAAGAAGAUAUUGUAGUUCGUUUGGAAAGCCCUUGUCCAAAUGCUGAGAUACCCCUCUCUCCUGAAGGGCUACCUGGCACUGGUGGUACUCAAUCCAGCCAUGCCACUGUCUGUGAAAACCAGGACAUUCCCAGUAUCAAUCAAACAGCUGUCCAAAGACUUGUGUUGCUCUUGCUGCUCAUGGUGAUCCUGAUCAUCCUCGUACUCCCAUUUGUGUACACUGGACUGAUUAAAUGGGUCCUCUGCCUUGUGCUUAUAUUGGGGUUGAUCAUGUCUUUGGUGCUUUGCUGCAACCCUAACUUCAACGGCAGCUCUUUGAGGAUUUCAGUUCCCUUCUUCCACAAGAAAGAGAGCCACGUUGUAUCCAUUGCCUGAAAAGACUGAUGUGUAUUAUAGAGACAGUGGACUGGCAUUAUUUGCAAGUUGCCAAAUGGGAAACAAUGGCUGGUCAUUACAAUGUAGAUCUUUAGGAACCACUGUUCUUAGAAUAAAUUCAAAACACAUCCUGAAAGUAUCCCGGUAAGGAGUAGCCACAACACACACUAUUGCUUAGUUUUAUUAUCUGACCUAGUGAAAUAUUUGUAUUUAAUAUUUUUGAUAUGUGAGAUACAAUUAGUAAGGAUUUUCCUUGUUUGGGUUUGGUUUUGUUCUGGCGCAUUGCAUUUUGACUCGUACUGCAGAAUGUUUAUUAUAUGAAAUGCUUAUCAGCUGGCUUCCUGAGAAGACCAGUAUAACAUCUGCCAGUGUGUUUGUAGAUACCCUUCUUAGCUUGUGUAUAUUUGUUCUUGGUAGAGAGUCCUGGGAUAAAGUUAAAAACAACCAUAAAGACAAUGCUCUUGGUGGGCACAUUGAGUCUGUUUUUUAAGGGUAUGUAGAAUUUCUCGACAGCCCUUGAUGGAGACUCUCUCCUGUGUUCUUUACCAAGCAAAUGGUUGCACUUAUUUGAACAAAGAACACUAACCUGACUCUGAAUUUCUCACUAUUCAGUCUUAUGCCUUCGCCACCUCUGCUCUUGCCCUCUUCACAUAAAGUCUAGAGUAUGACAUUGUACUCUGAGAUGUGUGGUUCCUUGUGCAGGGAUCAAAGAGAAGGAACUUGUUAAUCACUAAAACACACCUUGUGGUAUUUCUGUAUGCAAU